GACGAACGCUGGCGGCGUGCCUAACACAUGCAAGUCGAACGGAGAUACACUACGGAAGUUUUCGGAUGGAAGUUAUGUAUCUUAGUGGCGGACGGGUGAGUAACGCGUGAGCAACCUGCCUUACAGAGGGGGAUAACGUUUGGAAACGAACGCUAAUACCGCAUGAUACAUUUUUGUGGCAUCACAGAAAUGUCAAAGGAGCAAUCCGCUGUAAGAUGGGCUCGCGUCCGAUUAGAUAGUUGGUGGGGUAAAGGCCUACCAAGUCAACGAUCGGUAGCCGGACUGAGAGGUUGAACGGCCACAUUGGGACUGAGACACGGCCCAGACUCCUACGGGAGGCAGCAGUGGGGAAUAUUGCACAAUGGGCGAAAGCCUGAUGCAGCAACGCCGCGUGAGGGAAGACGGUUUUCGGAUUGUAAACCUCUGUCUUUGGUGAAGAAACAAAUGACGGUAGCCAAGGAGGAAGCCACGGCUAACUACGUGCCAGCCGCCGCGGUAACAC
rnacentral:rRNA from 1 species